AACGAACGCUGGCGGCAGGCCUAACACAUGCAAGUCGAGCGAGACCUUCGGGUCUAGCGGCGGACGGGUGAGUAACGCGUGGGAACGUGCCCUUUUCUACGGAAUAGCCUCUGGAAACUGAGCGUAAUACCGAAUACGCGCUUUGGGGGCAUGACUCAUCGGAGAAGGAUCGGCCCGCGUUGGAUUAGGUAGUUGGUGGGGUAAUCGCCUACCAAAACUACGAUCCAUAGCUGGUUUGCGAGGAUGCUCAGCCACACUGGGACUGCGACACGGCCCAGAAUCCGGAGGGAGGCAGUAAUGGGGAAUCCUAGACAAGGGGGGCAACCCUGAGCUAGCCACGCCGCGUGAGUGAUGACGGCCUUAGGGUUGCAAAGCUCCUUCAGCUGGGAAGAUAAUGACGGUACCAGCAGAAGAAGCCCCGGCUAACUCCGUG
rnacentral:rRNA from 1 species